rnacentral:rRNA from 1 species
AUUGAGCGCUGGCGGCAGGCCUAACACAUGCAAGUCGAGCGGAUGACGGGAGCUUGCUCCUUGAUUCAGCGGCGGACGGGUGAGUAAUGCCUAGGAAUCUGCCUGGUAGUGGGGGACAACGUUUCGAAAGGAACGCUAAUACCGCAUACGUCCUACGGGAGAAAGCAGGGGACCUUCGGGCCUUGCGCUAUCAGAUGAGCCCAGGUCGGAUUAGCUAGUAGGUGAGGUAAUGGCUCACCUAGGCGACGAUCCGUAACUGGUCUGAGAGGAUGAUCAGUCACACUGGAACUGAGACACGGUCCAGACUCCUACGGGAGGCAGCAGUGGGGAAUAUUGGACAAUGGGCGAAAGCCUGAUCCAGCCAUGCCGCGUGUGUGAAGAAGGUCUUCGGAUUGUAAAGCACUUUAAGUUGGGAGGAAGGGCAGUAAGUUAAUACCUUGCUGUUUUGACGUUACCGACAGAAUAAGCACCGGCUAACUCUGUGCCAGCAGCCGCCGUAAGAC